rnacentral:rRNA from 1 species
AACGCUAGCUACAGGCUUAACACAUGCAAGUCGAGGGGCAGCAUAAAAGUAGCAAUACUUGGUGGCGACCGGCGCACGGGUGAGUAACGCGUAUGCAACCUACCUAUCAGAGGGGGAUAACCCGGCGAAAGUCGGACUAAUACCGCAUAAAACAGGGGCACCGCAUGGUGAUAUUUGUUAAAGAUUAAUUGCUGAUAGAUGGGCAUGCGUUCCAUUAGGUAGUUGGAGAGGUAACGGCUCACCAAGCCUACGAUGGAUAGGGGAACUGAGAGGUUGGUCCCCCACACUGGUACUGAGACACGGACCAGACUCCUACGGGAGGCAGCAGUGAGGAAUAUUGGUCAAUGGGCGAGAGCCUGAACCAGCCAAGUCGCGUGAAGGAAGAAGGAUCUAUGGUUCGUAAACUUCUUUUGCAGGGGAAUAAAGUGCAGGACGUGUCCUGUUUUGUAUGUACCCUGAGAAUAAGGAUCGGCUAACUCCGUGCCAGCAGCCGCGGUAAUACGGAGGAUCCGAGCGUUAUCCGGAUUUAUUGGGUUUAAAGGGUGCGUAGGUGGUUUAAUAAGUCAGCGGUGAAAGUUUGCAGCUUAACUGUAAAAAUGCCGUUGAAACUGUUAGACUUGAGUGUAAAUGAGGUAGGCGGAAUGCGUGGUGUAGCGGUGAAAUGCUUAGAUAUCACGAAGAAACUCCGAUUG